rnacentral:rRNA from 1 species
AUUGAACGCUGGCGGCAGGCCUAACACAUGCAAGUCGAGCGGAGCGGCGGACGGGUGAGUAAUGCCUAGGAAUCUGCCUGGUAGUGGGGGAUAACGUCCGGAAACGGGCGCUAAUACCGCAUACUAUCAGAUGAGCCUAGGUCGGAUUAGCUAGUUGGUGGGGUAACGGCUCACCUAGGCGACGACCCCUAGCUGGUCUGAGAGGAUGACCAGCCACACGGGAACGGAGACACGGUCCAGACGCCUACGGGAGGCAGCAGUGGGGAAUAUUGCACAAGGGGCGCAAGCCUGAUGCAGCCAUGCCGCGUGUGUGAAGAAGGCCUUCGGGUUGUGAAGCACUUUCAGCGGGGAGGCGUGACCCGCAGAAGAAGCACCGGCUAACUCCGUGCCAGCAGCCGCGGUAAUUC